UGGGAGGCGAAGCCCUCUCCAUCCUUUUUGUCUUAUCAUCAUCGGCUGCUCUUUGAUUCGAUCUAUCCUUUUAUUCUCGUGUUCUCGGCUAUUUUUCCGUGAGAUUGUAGUUCGAUUUUGAUCUGCGAUCAUUCUAGUUCUUCGGUUUCUGCUUCGGACCAAGAAUUUCCCCAUUUUUUGAGGGUUUCGAUCGUCUCCCGCUGGAUCCGGCGGUUGAAUGAUCGAUUCCGGAUUUUGAUGCCGCCUUCUGAAGGUUGCAUGCGUGGUUGACAACGAGAGAGAGCACGCCGGUCCGCAAUCAUGCGGGCGGCCAUGGUUGUGUGUACCAGUGUGCUCUUUCUCGUCGUCACCUGGCUCGCUCGCCCUCGCGACGAAGCGUGUUCUGUGCCUAGAAGCCCUCUAGAUUGAAGGAAAGAAGAGAGAGUUGUAUUAAAUCUAUCAUGCCAGUAGAAUGCAAUCAAUAAAUUUUCAUCUUCUGGGCAAGCCAGCACAUUGUCUUGCUACCUGGGCAAGAACUUCAUCUUCUGACUGUUUUCGGGAAAUAGGUACCUACUUGCCCUAACAUGUGAUUGAUUGGUCGAAGUACAUCAAUGGCAGGAUACCAUGUGAGACAGAGAUUGACGCAGUCAUAGCAAUUGGUACUAUGAACUGUAUUUGGUCACAUAACUGAUCUUUCUCAUGAUGUUGAUAGUUUUGAACGAGUAUUUUUAAGUAUAUAGAAAUGGAUCCAUGCUUGGUUUAGUUUGAAAUUAAAACUUAAUUUGCUUUAUUAAUGUCUACUUUAAAACUUAUUGUUAUGUUUUUAACUGAAGUUUAAAAUGCUAAAUGAAAACUUUUAACAAAAAUCAUACCUUAGUUGCAGAUAGAUCAGAGUGAAAGAGAGCUCUAAUUGAGAGGAAAGAUGCAGCCUCGUCAGAUCACUGAAUGAGAGAGAAAGAAAAAGAAAGAGAGAGGAAUCGAAGAGAUGGCAUGAAAGAGACAUUUUAAGCACCAUGACAUGAUAACUUCGAAAAAUGAAAAGAAAGCUAGAUGGCUUGGCUUCCAUGCUUUUGAGGGCUUCAGUGGAUCGAGUUGGUGCAUAAUCCAGGACUUGGUUUCAGUCUACUUGUUUGAUCUCCAGCGAUAACCCGGUUCUGGUGCAUGAAAGGAGGUAAAUCACCUUUUACAGUCACCAGAUAAUGAGCAUAGACUGGAAUGAGGUCGAUAAGGAUUACAUCAUUGAAGAAGAAUAAUGAUCAUAAAUAAGCCAUCCAAUCAAAUAUGCAUUUGUAUGAUGAUAAGGAUGGAAACAUCAAAUGGCCAAAGAUCUGAAGGAUGCAAAUAUGAUUUCCAUCGCAAAACAAAGAUGCAAAUGCCUACAGAAAAACAUGUUCAGGGGAUUCAUUGGCUGCCACUAUAUCAGAGUUUCCAGCCACAAACUCCUCAAGGGUCAGAGCAGGGAGGGAGAGAAACUCCGGAGCUCCAUCCCGGUUGUGCAAUGUGAUAAUCGUCCUCGAUCCAUCGCAUCCAAUGUGAGUCACAUGCUGCACAUCCGUUGGGAAUCCAAUCUCCAUCUCCACCUCUUCAUCUUCCUCCCUCUGCAGUGCAAACAACUGAGCCAUGCUCUUGAUCAGUCGCUGCAGCGCUGCAGAUAUGUUGUGCCUCGGAAGAGGAGGAAACCCCAGCGAUCUCUUCAUCUCCAACCUCGGUAAGCUCUCUUGUACACCUUUUGAUAACAAAAAGAAGUUUCUCCUGGUAUCAUUUACUGAAAGGAACACAGAAUGGCAUUGAGAGAAAGAAUGAGAAGUUUACUUUGCGAUGAUUGAGUGAUUCUGUCGGGGCUUUCUUGUGCUGCUUUCUAUCAACCGAAAUAUCUCAUUGCGUAUUAAUGGAGAUGGAAAGGGCACAAUGGAGUGCAACAGAAGAAAGAAGGGACCUGCAGACAGAAUGGCUUAUCAUGACAUGGGGAAGUGUUUGUUGAAAUCUUUGACGAUGGAUGUCAUUGACUUGGUCAGCAAGUUAGCAGAUCUCCAUAGUCUAUAGCAGGGCAUAGACGUGUGGUUGGUUGCUACUUUACUCGUCGCUGGUUGCAGUGCCGCCUGUAGUCCUGUCUUGUGUUUCUGAGAAGCCUCCUAUGGUGUGGCAAAUAUGUGUAGCUAUUCUGUUGUGUCACUCACUGCCUCUCCCUUUUGAUCACUCAAAAUCUUAUCAAGAGUGCAAUCCAAGCAAUUCAUCCAAUCAUCCAGAACUGAUGCCAUCAUUUAGAAACAAGAUCAAGAACCUCCGAGUCAGUCAGGCGGUCACAGGAAAAAAGAAAAGAAAAAGGAAGAGAUAUGGGAGACUCCACUGUCGCUUUCUUUUGUUUGGAAUAUUGAAUGCUCUGGAGUGGACAAUGAUCAAGUACAAGUCACCAUCGGAAUCUAUAUCCAAGGAUGCUGCAGUCCUUUUGCUGGCCUUAAAAAGCAAAUGGAGUUUUGAGGGCUCCAGUUAAUUCUUUUGGAGUAUGUAACUUCAAUUCUUCUCUCCAACAAAUAAUCAUCCCAUCCCAUGGAAAUUUUAUUGUGCGAGUUCCCAACACUCGAAUGUAUCUGGUAAUCAUCUGUGACCUAUUCUGUAAUCUUCACUCGGAAGCCAUCUGCUGCCAUCAGCCCCCAUCACUGUUCAGGUAUCA